UCUUGGUGGUAGUAGCAAA
rnacentral:ncRNA from 3 species